UCCGAGCCCCCGGCCGUGACUCCCUGCCGCAACCUGACGCCACUUCCCCGGCGCCAGGCGGCGGAGGGGAAUCAGGGUCGGGGGACACGAGGCC
rfam:Microbacterium sediminis strain YLB-01 Scaffold7_2, whole genome shotgun sequence.